ACCGUUUGUUUGUGUGUCUGUCUAGGGUACCCCAAUCCCAUCACAAUUUUAACCCUGUACUCUAGGACUGACUUUUGAAAAAGAGCAGAAUAAUUUAAAGUCAUACCAAAGGUUUUUAUAAAUAAAACUAAAGCUAAAGAAAUAGCUUUUCUAUACAAUUUGUGGUUCUCUAAUAGUAAGCGUCAUCACUCUCCCACUUGUAGAGCGCUCUCCAGUGGUAUGAAAAUGGCAGCAGGUCCCUGGCCCUUUACGCCCUCUGUCGUUCUCAUGUCAUCAUGUCCUCCUAGAAACGGUUGCUAACAACUCGGGGGAAAGAGAGCAGACAAACGUGUCGACAUUCAAAGUGGUAUCAGUAGCUAAUUGCGCAAACUAAAACAAAAAUCAGUUCCUGCAGAGUACAAUUAAACCAUGCCUCGAGGAAGAUCCGCCACCAGUGUCCACUCUGACAGCAGUGACAUGGAUAUUGAUGGAAUAGCGGAAACAGAGAUGGGAAAACUGCAAAGACAGUUCCGGAUCAUGGGGGGAGACCGGCUGGCCUACAGCAUCCAGUCUCAAGAUCACAUACGCAGACAGCGGCAGGAGAUAGAGAAGCUUGAGAAGGAACAGGAGGAGCUACAGCGUAGUCUCUGUGUGUCUGAGAGCCUAUCCCGACGGCAGCGGGACAGUGAGGAUGCCCAGACCCUGCGCUCCAUGCUGGAACAGAGGGACGAGGUGGGGGACGAGGUGGAGAGGGAGAGGCAGAGUCAGGCAGAGCUGGAGCAGGAGAUCUCCAGCAUGGAGAGAAAGCUGACAGAGCUGAGGAGAGGCGAGGUCACUGCUACUCUCAGCCAAAAGUCCCAGUCCCGACAAACUCAGAAGGCCUCACGCACCCUGGAGAACAAACUGGAUAGAGCCCUCAUUCGCUUCAACGAGCAGCUGACUAAAAACAGCCACCUGAGAGAGGACCUGGAGACUCUGCGUGUGGAGCGGGUCCGGUUCCAGCAGCUCCACCGCAGACUGGACAAGGAGCUGCAGGAGAUCCGGAAAGACAUUGGAGAUAUGGUCAGCCUCUCCACUGCUGCAUAUGAUGUCAGGGUGGAGGCCCAGUCUAAGAUGAUCAUGAUGAGGGAGAAGGCAGUAAAGGACCUGUCUCAGUACAGCGCUGAAAUGAAGGAGCUGGAGAGGGUGAUCGCACACGAACGCCGCCUCAAAGAGUUCAUGACCACCAAGUGCAGUGAGAGGAGUGGCCAGGAUGAGGGGCAAGAACUGGGCCGGAGGCAUGCGUCAGAGUUGAAGGAACAGAGGAGGAUGGACUCUGGGGAGGAGUCAGUGGACACACUGGAGGAAGUCUUCCACAGGAUCCAGAAUAUCACUGGAGAGGAAGAGCUGGACAUGCUGGUCACCAGGUUCAUCCAGGUCGAGGAUCAGAACUUUGCCCUCUUCAACUAUGUGAAUGAGCAAAACAACGAGGCUGAAGCUUUGAGGGACCAAAUUAACCAGACCCAGAGGGAGAUGGAGCAGUUUAAUGUGACGGGGCAGCAGCAGAAGCAGGAGCACCAUGCUUUGUUGAGAGAUAUUGAUCAGCAACAGAGAGACACAGAGUCUCAGGCACAUGAGAAUGAAGUCCUGGCCAGCGCUGUGAGCAAGAUCCUGGACCAGAUAAAGACAGGAGUGAACAGUGUGUUCCAGAAGAUGGACUGUGAUCGCUCAGUGGUGGAGGACUUGCUAGGCUCGUCCUCUGGCAUCCGGGAGAACAACAUCAUGACCUACCUGGGUCUGGUGGAGCAGAGGACCAACCAGCUGCUCACCAUGCAGGCCUUCCUCAACUCCAGGGAUCUCGAUAAGGAGUAUGACCCAAAAGAUCUUGCCCGAUUUCUACUCGGUCAGAACCCUGAGGUUCCCAGACAAAAUAUCAUCAUACAGCCUCCUGUCACUGGGGAUGACUAUGACACAGAGGAGUCUCCUCUCACUGAUGAGGAAGAGCGGCCUCUCUCCCAGGGAGAACUACGCCAGAGAAUCAUGAAAGGGGUCCUGCUAAAGGAGGGAUCAGUGCGUCACACAGGAGCAAGGAGAAAGAUGAGUGUUCCGUCCAACAGCCAUCGGCGCUCCCUAGAGGCCUGAGAGGAGCGGCGCACAAGGAGACAGCCAUAUCCAGACGGUGUUGUCUAGAAGAGAUACAGCUUGGUCAAAAUUAUACCCCUCUGAUCGCCCUGGGACACCACCUGCACCAGCCAGUCCCCAGCCCAGUCCCAAGGCCCACUUCCUACUCCCUACGCCCUACCUACCAGCAGGCCACCACCGCACUCUAUACGCCCUACCUACCAGCAGGCCACCACCGCACUCUAUACGCCCUACCUACCAGCAGGCCACCACCGCACUCUCUACGCCCUACCUACCAGCAGGCCACCACCGCACUCUAUACGCCCUACCUACCAGCAGGCCACCACCGCACUCUAUACGCCCUACCUACCAGCAGGCCACCACCGCACUCUAUACGCCCUACCUACCAGCAGGCCACCACCGCACUGUCUAUGCCCUACCUACCAGCAGGCCACCACCGCACUGUCUAUGCCCUACCUACCAGCAGGCCACCACCGCACUGUCUAUGCCCUACCUACCAGCAGGCCACCACCGCACUCUCUACGCCCUACCUACCAGCAGGCCACCACCGCACUCUCAACGCCCUACCUACCAGCAGGCCACCACCGCACUCUCUACGCCCUACCUACCAGCAGGCCACCACCGCACUCUAUACGCCCUACCUACCAGCAGGCCACCACCGCACUCUAUACGCCCUACCUACCAGCAGGCCACCACCGCACUCUAUACGCCCUACCUACCAGCAGGCCACCACCGCACUGUCUAUGCCCUACCUACCAGCAGGCCACCACCGCACUGUCUAUGCCCUACCUACCAGCAGGCCACCACCGCACUCUCUACGCCCUACCUACCAGCAGGCCACCACCGCACUCUCAACGCCCUACCUACCAGCAGGCCACCACCGCACUCUCUACGCCCUACCUACCAGCAGGCUACCACCGCACUCUCUACGCCCUACCUAGCAGCAGGCCACCACCGCACUCUCUACGCCCUACCUAGCAGCAGGCCACCACCGCACUCUCUACGCCCUACCUAUCAGCAGGCUACCACCGCACUCUCUACGCCCUACCUACCAGCAGGCUACCACCGCACUCUCUACGCCCUACCUAGCAGCAGGCCACCACCGCACUCUCUACGCCCUACCUACCAGCAGGCCACCACCGCACUCUCUGCCUACCAGCAGGCCACCACCGCACUCUCUACGCCCUACCUACCAGCAGGCCACCACCGCACUCUCUACGCCCUACCUACCAGCAGGCCACCACCGCACUCUCUACGCCCUACCUAGCAGCAGGCCACCACCGCACUCUCUACGCCCUACCUAGCAGCAGGCCACCACCGCACUCUCUACGCCCUACCUAGCAGCAGGCCACCACCGCACUCUAUACGCCCUACCUACCAGCAGGCCACCACCGCACUCUCUACGGCCUACCUAGCAGCAGGCCACCACCGCACUCUCUACGCCCUACCUACCAGCAGGCCACCACCGCACUCUCUACGCCCUACCUACCAGCAGGCCACCACCGCACUCUCUACCUACCAGCAGGCCACCACCGCACUCUCUACGCCCUACCUACCAGCAGGCCACCACCGCACUCUCUACGCCCUACCUACCAGCAGGCCACCACCGCACUCUCUACGCCCUACCUACCAGCAGGCCACCACCGCACUCUCUACGGCCUACCUACCAGCAGGCCACCACCGCACUCUCUACGCCCUACCUAGCAGCAGGCCACCACCGCACUCUCUACGCCCUACCUAGCAGCAGGCCACCACCGCACUCUCUACGCCCUACCUAGCAGCAGGCCACCACCGCACUCUCUACGCCCUACCUACCAGCAGGCCACCACAGCACUCUCUACGCCCUACCUACCAGCAGGCCACCACCGCACUCUCUACGCCCUACCUACCAGCAGGCCACCACCGCACUCUCUACGCCCCUACCUAGCAGCAGGCCACCACCGCACUCUCUACGCCCUACCUAGCAGCAGGCCACCACCGCACUCUCUACGCCCUACCUAGCAGCAGGCCACCACCGCACUCUCUACGCCCUACCUACCAGCAGGCCACCACCGCACUCUCUACGCCCUACCUACCAGCAGGCCACCACCGCACUCUCUACGCCCUACCUACCAGCAGGCCACCACCGCACUCUCUACGCCCUACCUAGCAGCAGGCCACCACCGCACUCUCUACGCCCUACCUACCAGCAGGCCACCACCGCACUCUCUACGCCCUACCUAGCAGCAGGCCACCACCGCACUCUCUACGCCCUACCUAGCAGCAGGCCACCACCGCACUCUCUACUCUUCCUCUUCUCUUUUCACCAUUUUCCCCUUCCUUAUUUUCCUUAUGUUAUUCCUCUCAUGCUCUUUCCAUUUACUUCUCUACCUUCUGCCCCACUAACUUUUUUUGUGGUCUCCUCUGGUUUAAGCUACUCUUACCCUUCAUACUUUUUGUGGUUAUUUUAGUUCACGUCAAAGAUUGCGAUUAGUCUCAGAUGAGACAUAAAGCAGCUAGUUGGGACUUUCUGAGAAACAUAUAUACACUCACCAGACCCGCAUCGAUACACACACACACUAUUUAUUUCUCUCUUUUAUCUCAGCUUUCCAAACUGGCUUGUAUCCUGUUCAUUUGUUACUUUUCUAUCUCACCUCCUCUAUUCCCUUAUCAUCUGUUACAGUCAAUGUUCCUUAUCUGUUACAGUCAGUUCCUUAUCGUCUGUUACAGUCAAUGUUCCUUAUCGUCUGUUACAGUCAAUGUUCCUUAUCGUCUGUUACAGUCAAUGUUCCUUAUCGUCUGUUACAGUCAAUGUUCCUUAUCGUCUGUUACAGUCAAUGUCCCUUAUCGUCUGUUACAGUCAAUGUCCCUUAUCGUCUGUUACAGUCAAUGUCCCUUAUCGUCUGUUACAGUCAAUGUCCCUUAUCGUCUGUUACAGUCAAUGCCCCUCAUCGUCUGUUACAGUCAAUGCCCCUCAUCGUCUGUUACAGUCAAUGCCCCUCAUCGUCUGUUACAGUCAAUGCCCCUCAUCGUCUGUUACAGUCAAUGCCCCUCAUCGUCUGUUACAGUCAAUGCCCCUUAUCGUCUGUUACAGUCAAUGCCCCUUAUCGUCUGUUACAGUCAAUGCCCCUUAUCGUCUGUUACAGUCAAUGUCCUGUUUUCUACUCGUUUGGUUCUCUUGUCACCGUAGGUCUAGUGAAAAUGGCACUUAAUUUCUUUACAUAAUACUUGCAUGCAAUUUGUCUUUACUUUCCAAGUACAUUUAGCUAAGUGUAUGCUACAUCUUUUCAUCUCACCUGGUAGGAUUCAGUGUUUGUAUCACAUGUUAACAACAAGAGAGUACGAUGGCUUUUUAUUGCUCAGAUAAACCACCUCCCUUCACAACAAAACUGAAAGAUUGAGAGACCAUUUAUUUACAACAACUCUGUGAUCUGCACUCUCCACCAGUACCUUAAAAGACUCUCAGCCUUUUCCCUUUUCCAUCGCUCUCUCUUUCCUUCUCAGUUUGUUUAUUUGGGCAUUGUGCCAGGUAUUUCCCUAGUCUGCCUGCUGCUCCAGAAUACUACCUCCCCCUUAAGAGCCCAGAGCCCUCCCCUCUCCCCCUCCAAUUCACCUACCAGUAUGUGUUGCCAGGCAACCAACCGACCAAGAGGUCUGGCAGUCACUCUCUCUGACCAAUCAGGUUCCAGUGUUUAUUUUCAAAUAGUUGAUUGAAGGUUGUCCACAAGCACUGUGUCUUCAGAUACCAUUUUAUUAAUGUUCUGUUUAAAGUUUUAUCCUCACACUGAAGGGUCAGUUUUCCAAGCUUUCUGUAUUUUUGGGGGAAUUUUGCGAUUACCGCUAUCUAUCCUUGUUCCACCCUUCAUAGACUAAGAAGCACAUACAGGCAGUCUACCACUGAGCGGCAGCACUAGCUUACAGCUGCACAGGUCACAGGUCACAAGAAAGAAAGGCAGCCGGUUAGCAGUUGCUAAGCAAUCUAGCUCGUUUACCUGUGGCUCAUUUGUGACCGACUUUGUGAUUGACACAGAUGUCCGGUAAUGUGAUUAUACGUUAUAUCAUUAUCAAUGCCACUGUUCUGAGUACACUAAAGUCAUGAUAGUCAUCACUUUUUAGUAGUGCAUGUUCUAAAUGAAAAAGCAAGCAAUGUUCAUAUGGUCUCUUGUAUAGUGGUGUUCCAUCUGCCUAUGAGAGGGAGUACAUUCAUGAAAUACUUGUGUGCUCUGGUAGACUUAAAAACCCUCAGUUUGUGGUAGAUGUGAGAGGUUGAAAUGACAGAGACGGCUGGAAACAGAUAAAGCCCUGGGUUUAGGUUAAACAUUAGUCUUGAUCAGCCUUCUGAGUUUCAGUUCACUUCAUUCUGUCGUGUACAGGAAGUUUCCUCAUGAAUGAUUACAGCUGCCCUCCAUUUCACAGGCUGCUAAGGGGGUCUCCAUUUUGUGUGUCUGAGGAGCCAUGUAAUUCCCCUGAGCCCCAACUUGUUUAUUUCACCAUGUGCACUGGAGACCACUGCUUUGUAUGAAGGGUCUGUAUUCCCAAUUAUUACAGAUCCAAACAUGUAUUCUCUUAUUCCUCCUUGCAUGGGUCCUUUUAUUCCACUUGAGCCUCCCUAUCUCUCGGCCAGCCCUGCUCCUUCCUCUAUAAUUUCUUCGUGCCCUCUCCUCUCGGCUCCCAUCGGUCCCUCCCCCACCCUAUACUCUUGUCCCUCCUCUUCUCUGCUCUCUGCUUGCUGUGCAGAUGGUUCUUUGUUGGUGCUUCAUAAUAGGGCUGAGGUCAGUGUGGUUAACAUUAACACAUGCAUACUACUCUGUAGUACACCAUCAUUUCCCCUUCUAUGUUUGCUUAUCUACAAUGUCUCCGAAACUACAGCACCACCAACGUUUUAGAAUAAACAGAAUGUCAGUCUCUCCCUACCUUGGUGAUGAGGAAGUAGCCUUAUAAAACCCAGAUAAAGCUCUAGCCAGUAAGUCACCCCACAUUUAAACUGUAAUGGCUGUGACUAAAAGGAAGAUCAUGUCUGUGUUACCAACAGUCACAAUUUACCUAUUACAUCAAAAGCUAGUCUAAUUUAGACGAGUCGACACAUUUCAAUCUAGACAUGGUAGUAGGGGAUGUUAAAUCUGAUCUUCUGGAGAAGGAAAUGCGAAUGAACCAUCUGUUCUGGGAUCCCACUGCCUCACCAUUGGUCAUAAGAGCCACCAUUAUUGAGCCAGUAGCCACUGAUUCAUAGUUCAACCUUAUCCUGAUUGAGAGAACAAAUGGGAGAGUUAUUUGCAUUUUGCACAUAGUAAAAUCUGUUCUGAGAAAAAGCUAAUAAUACAUUUGAGAGCAAACAUCAUCCAUGGUUUCAUUUUUUUUAAAAAAUGUAAAGCUUUACAAAAGAAUCCACAAGGUAUGAUUUAUGAAUGUAGUUGUAGGUUCUGAGGAAAAGGGAGGUGAGGUGAUCCACCAAUGGGAUGUCUCUGGGCAGGGAUUACACAGACCAAUGGGCCUCAGUCAAGUGCAGGUAGAGUGAAGGCGGGAAAGCUAAAGGGAGGAGUGCUUAGGAGCAACUCUGAAUUAGUGGAAAUUUCCACUUUCCUUGCAAGGCAGGGUGUGGGUGGAGCUUGAGAUGGAAUAAGGUGGUGUUGUACAAACACAGGGCACAUGGAGACAUUCCCAGUUCUCCUUACUUUACCCAUGAACCUUUUUCUCUACCACAAUCGCUGUAAUAAAGCUCACUUGAUUUAUGUAUAGGCUACUCCUUCUACCUGCCACAGACUUUUGCACUUGGGGAGCGCGACAAAACACCAAGAAUAGAGUACUAUCAUGUUUUUCAAAUAGCGCUCAGCAGGUAGGCCUAUUGGGUAGAAGUAUGUUUUGUUUCUCUCCUUGCUCUUCCAUCCAGUACUUUUGCCUCUCUCUCAUUUACCUUUUCUGUCUCAUCACAACUAUUUUAGUAAUAGCCAAAAUUAAAGGCGGCAUCCAUUCUGCAAACUGGUCCACGCAGUACCUGUACUUGUCAUUUCUCCUCUCUCCUUUAAUGCUAAUUUGACAAAACGAGAGAUUAAAUCGAUUACAUGCUUCAAUGUGUAUCUGACACCUUUUAAAUAACCAGGACACCUCCAUGUAAGGGCCAAAGGGACACAUUCCAGGAGGUAGCCAGCCAUGAGGUUUUCUAUGUUUACAGGCUUAAAGGGAAAUGUAAAAAAAAAAUAAUCAACUUCAUCUCCAGCACCACCCCAAGAUCAGUAUAUGUGGAAAUGGAACGUUUCUAUGUUUUGUGGAAAAAAAGAUAGAGGAAGAUAAGCGUUUCCAAUGACAUCAUGGGUGUGCAUCAUGUGAUUUUAUCCAAUUAUGAGUAGGCAUUGCCUACUAAUUGCUUAUUAAUUGUAUACUAAUUGGUUGAUGAGGUCAUUGGAAACACUUAUCUUUCUCUUAUCUUUUUUACUACAAAACAUAGAAAAGUGCCAUAUUCACAUAUGUUGAUGUUGGGCUGGUGCUGGAGAUGCUGAAAAUGAAGUUGAACAAUUUUGACAUUUUCCUUUAAAGGAAUCCGAGAAUAGAUCAUGCAAGACAAAUAACGUUGGUGAAGGUAGCAAUCAUAGGUGUUUUCUUUAUUGGACUGGCAGUGGUUCCGGAUUUUCUGGAAACUCGAUUUGCCAUUGCUAAAGAUGCAGAGAUUUCUGCGCAUGUGCAUGAUUUUUAGCUGCUGGCCAGUGCCCACUCCACUGCCUACGUAGCUGCUGCUCAGUGCUCCGCUGCCACUUCCCCCUCCGAGAUCAGUGAUGAUUAUUGCAUGUAUUCAUGGAACUGUGUAUGACCAACAUCACUGUUGCCACUGGUAGCAGAGACUGAGGGGUCCCCGCUGGCACAUCCACUGUCUUGGAAUUAUUCAGAGGUUCUGUACACUCUGUCACAGUAUAGAAGUUAACUUAUAUGUUGUCCUGAUUCUCUAUUGGAUUUGCCUGGGAUCCCUAGAAAGCCAUUCAGAGUGUACGGGACACCGCUGUUCAGAAGAAUAGAGCCAAGUUAGCCCCCGCCAAUUCUUCCAAUUAUGGGGACCAUUCCCCCUCCUAAUCCUGACCUCUGCUCUUUGAUGCCCCCACCCCUGCUCUCCCCUCAAGCACCGACAUUCCAUGGAUCAGGUUACAGUCUUUUGUCUUCCUGUUUUUCAGGUGUGAUUGAGAGUAACUCUUCUUUGUGUUUAUUCAGAUUUUUUUGUGAAAAUCUGAAGGUUGUGGUGGAGGGGAUCCUUGUUGGCCAAACCACUCACUUUUGCCUCUCAUUCUAAAACUAAAGAUCAACUUCUUGAGCACAAAGACUAUAUGCUCUCUGGUCCAGACGGUUAUAAAGACUAUCUAUGGCACUGCAUCAGUUCAUAAAUAAUGUUCCAUUAUAGCUUUCCAAGUUGAGUAGCAAUUGUGAAGAAAAUACCCUCACUGUGUCAGAGUAUGAAAUGGAAUACUGCCCAUGAUUAUGAGACCUUCUCCUGCAAACCUAAAAUGCUGACAGCUCUCACAACAGUAAACAGCAUACAGAUGUUGCUCUCACUCUCUCUUCAGUCUCUGCUUGAACUCAGUCUUUUCAAGUGAACCUCUACCUCUAGUAACCUACUACAGGGACCAGCAGGAGGACAUUUCUGGAAGAGGUCCAGUAUCUAUGGAAACAAGUUGAGAUGGUAGGCAUACAAAAGAGAGAGAAAAAUGACAGGAAAUGAUCUCACAAACACUCAAACACUCCCCCUCUCUGAUUGCUUUUAUUAGGCAGUUAGACUUCUUAUUUUCUGGAUCCGGACUACUACUGUGAAGAGACACUCUAACACACACUUUCUAAAACACACACUCUACUGUACACACACACACACACCUUAUUCUUAGUAAUGUAAUGUAGUAUUAUAAUGUAAUGUAAUGAAGGAGCAAUGUAAAUGUGUAUAAUGCACACUGUUUUGUUUGAUGUAAUGUUUUAUCUCUGGACCCCCAGGAAGAGUAGCUGCUGCCUUGGCAACAGCUAAUGGGGAUCCUAAUAAACUACUAAAUACA